rnacentral:lncRNA from 1 species
GGGGCCGGGGCGUGGAGUGCGGACGGGCAGCCGGUUGGGCUGGGCCCGGAAGGGUGUGCAGUAGAGCAAGAGGAGGAAGUGGAGGGAAAGGAACCAGAUGCUUCUGAGACAGGCUACCAUCUCUGCGUGCAGUCCCCGCGGAAUUUACGCACUUUCGUCUUGUGCUCUUAGAUGUUCUCCAGGUAGACUGCAACCAACACCUUUAGAAUAAACCCACCUGUGCUUGGGCCAGCCUGAGAGGUCUUCAUUCCUUGCUGUCCAGAAAACCUUCAAAGGCUGCAGCAUAACCAGCUUCUAACAUUGUCCACUGGAGCAACAGGUCUGUGAGAACGGGCUUCAGAGAAGAUGAGCUUCUGGGGCAGGGCUAGGACUGCAGAAAAGACAGCUUUUAUCACUCUAACACAGAGACUUUGGGAGCCGAGGUGAAGAUGGCGCAACUACCAGAGGGAGAGCUGGAUUCUAGAGUCCCCACUUGCUUGCCUGGAAGGAGAUCUGCUCAGAACUGCCAGGAUGUCAGAACACGGCUCUGUACGAGCUCCUGAGAUCCAGGGCUGUAGUUGUGAGAAUUUGUCCUAAUGCCUCUGGUCUUUGCCUGUGCUUCAGCUUAUUUGGGGGAACAAAACCAAUCUGAUUGCUCUCAACAUCCAGUUGUCACUGAUUGGGUUCAAGGAAAUUAUUUUAUCUUCAGAAAACAUU